UGGGGAAUAUUGGACAAUGGGCGCAAGCCUGAUCCAGCCAUGCCGCGUGAGUGAUGAAGGCCCUAGGGUUGUAAAGCUCUUUCACCGGUGAAGAUAAUGACGGUAACCGGAGAAGAAGCCCCGGCUAACUUCGUGCCAGCAGCCGCGGUAAUACGAAGGGGGCUAGCGUUGUUCGGAUUUACUGGGCGUAAAGCGCACGUAGGCGGACUUUUAAGUCAGGGGUGAAAUCCCGGGGCUCAACCCCUGAACUGCCUUUGAUACUGGAAGUCUUGAGUAUGGUAGAGGUGAGUGGAAUUCCGAGUGUAGAGGUGAAAUUCGUAGAUAUUCGGAGGAACACCAGUGGCGAAGGCGGCUCACUGGACCAUUACUGACGCUGAGGUGCGAAAGCGUGGGGAGCAAACAGG
rnacentral:rRNA from 1 species